rnacentral:rRNA from 1 species
UACGUAGGGACCGAGCGUUGUCCGGAAUCAUUGGGCGUAAAGAGCGUGUAGGCGGCUUGCUAAGUCUUGCGUGAAAUCUCGGGGCUCAACCCCGAGCGGUCGUGGGAAACUGGCAGGCUAGAGUGCGGGAGAGGAGAAUGGAAUUCCUGGUGUAGCGGUGAAAUGCGCAGAUAUCAGGAAGAACACCAGUGGCGAAGGCGGCUCACUGGCCCGGUACUGACGCUGAGGCGCGAAAGCGUGGGGAGCAAACAGG